rnacentral:misc_RNA from 1 species
AUUUAUCGAUUCGAAUAGGGAAAUUUGAGGUAAUUGACGUAUUUCAAUUGGGCAACGUGGCCGACCUUUAAUGAAUGUGCAGCAUAAACAUAGUAGUAGUGUUUAAGGGGAAGAACUGGAGAAAAGUAUAGCAAGUAAAAACUUAUGAAGAUAUAGAUUUAAAAAAUUUAAAUGUAUAAAAGUUAAAACUAAUCAUCACUAAACAAAUAGAUAACGGAACGAAGACAGUUGUCAUGAAUAGGGCAAUAGGAGAUCAGAUGACGUCAUAAGCUUUCGGAAGAAAUGGACGUAGAAAGUCUACGAAAGGAACUAAGCCGCUUUGGCCAGGAACACUUGUUGCAUUUCUGGGACCAGUUAAACAACGAACAAAAAACUGAUUUGUAUAAUGAUCUGAAAAGUAUCGAUUUAGCUUAUGUAACUAAAAUCUUUAAAGAUUGCGUGAGUAAUGGAGGAGGAGACGAUUCGGGAAAACUGGAUGAUGUUCUCCAACCGAUACCUUCCGACUUAUAUGGUAGCGUAUCAAGAACUAGUCCUGAAAAAUUAAGAGCAUACAGAAAUGAAGGUUUACAACAAAUAGCAAAUGGAAAAGUAGCAGUUUUGCUUUUGGCUGGUGGUCAGGGUACACGUUUGGGUGUUUCUUAUCCAAAGGGCAUGUACGAUGUUGGCUUACCAUCUCGUAAAACAUUAUAUCAACUUCAAGGAGAACGUAUUCGUCGUCUUGAACAAUUAGCUUAUGAAUAUACUGGAAAGAAAAGUACUGUUUCUUGGUAUAUAAUGACAAGUGAACAUACCAUGGAACCUACUUUAGAGUUUUUUGAAAAAAAUGAAUAUUUUGGUUUGAAAAGAGAGAACUUAAUUGUUUUUGAACAAAAUAUGCUUCCUUGUUUUACCUUUGAUGGAAAAAUAAUUUUAGAAAAUAGCUGGAAAGUUGCACGAGCUCCUGAUGGUAAUGGUGGCUUGUACAAAGUUUUAAAAAGUGCUGGUAUUCUCACAGAUAUGGAAAGGAGAGGUAUUCGGUAUGUUCAUGUUUACUGUGUGGAUAAUAUCUUAGUGAAAAUGGCAGAUCCAGUGUUUAUUGGUUAUUGUGUAGGAAAAGGUGCUAACUGUGCUGCUAAGGUAGUUGAGAAAGCAUUUCCUACAGAAGCCGUUGGAGUUGUAUGUAAAGUAGAUGGAAAAUAUCAAGUUGUUGAGUAUAGUGAACUUUCAUUACGUACAGCUCAAAAAAGAAAUUCUGAUGGCAGAUUAACAUUUAAUGCUGGAAACAUAUGUAAUCAUUUUUUUACAGUAGAUUUUCUUCAAGAAGUUGCAGAAGGACAUGAAUUAAAACAUCACAUAGCAAAGAAGAAAAUUCCUUUUAUAAAUGAAAAUGGAGAAUUAAUAAAACCAGAAAAAGCCAAUGGAAUAAAAAUGGAAAAAUUUGUUUUUGAUGUUUUUGAGUUUUCAAAUAACUUUGUGGUAUGGGAAGUUUUAAGAGAAGAUGAAUUUUCUCCAUUGAAGAAUGCAGAGGGUGCUCAAAAAGAUACACCAAAAACAGCAUUACAUGCAUUAUUCAGUCUUCAUCAACGAUAUAUUUUAAAUGCUGGUGGUAAAUUUAUUUAUGAUGAUGGAUCAGUCAUUCCUUUAAUUCCAAGGAAUCAUGGAUGUAAGAUUGUUUGCUUAGAUUAGUUUUUUUAUUUCACUUAUUGCAUGAUGGAUGCAGGCACACAGCAGCUGAUUCUACAGUUAACACAGAUGAGGUCCUUAGAAAUGGAGAUGGAAAUUAUGGCCAGAAAUCUUACUUGAAGUAUGAGGAUCCUGUUGUCUGUGAAAUAUCUCCUUUAUUGUCCUAUGAUGGUGAGG